CUCAGCCAUAGUGGAGCCUGAACGUCGAGGGGAGCUAUUAUCCUCAGCCAUAGUGGAGCCUGAACGUCGAGUGGAGCUAUUAUCCUCAGCCAUAGUGGAGCCUGAGGUCGAGUGGAGCUAUUAUCCUCAGCCAUAGUGGAGCCUGAACGUCGAGUGGAGCUAUUAUCCUCAGCCAUAGUGGAGCCUGAACGUCGAGGGGAGCUAUUAUCCUCAGCCAUAGUGGAGCCUGAACGUCGAGUGGAGCUAUUAUCCUCAGCCAUAGUGGAGCCUGAGGUCGAGUGGAGCUAAUGACGGUUUCAUUUCUAU